UACCAUUAUUUUUUAUGUUAGAUUGAUUUACCUGACAGAGAUCAGUUUAAUACAACGGUGCUAUUGUCACAUAUUACACCAGGACCAGUUCCAGAAACUCAAACUUAUAUCAAGAAGUUGGAGGAUGAGAGACGUGAGAAAGAAAGAGGGAAAGGAAAAGACAACAGGUCUUUCUUUGCGAAAUAUUGGAUGUAUAUAGUUCCUCUGGUGAUCUUUCUUCUGCUGUCGGGUCAAGAACAACCAGGUGCUGGAGGUGCGGGUGGAGGAUCAGGCGGGGGAUCUGCUGCUAACUAACUCACAUUACUGCGGUGGAAGAAAUCCAAGAAAUAAAAACAAGGACAUUAUAUGCUUCGGUAGCAGAGGAUUUUGGAGGGAAAAUUAAAGACCUUUUCCAUGGUGACAUCAAACGUGGAAAGCCUGGUGUUACUAGAAGUUUGAUUGGCUGCAGAAAACUAACGAGCCAAACAAACUUCGUUUAACAUCAAGCUUUUCGUUGAGUAUGCGCUGUAAUUCUUUCACUGUUCGCAAUGAUGGACAAGAAAACACCGUUUUAAGACGUGGUUCUAACUCUUAAUCACGAUGUCGUGUAAUAUUGUGAUUAUAAUGUGAACUGGGCCUUCCGUUUACAUGUUAAAUAAGACAUUCUGAGCUGUGAUAUAUCACUGGAUGUCACGUAGAAUAACAGUGAGCAAGGCACUACAUUCAUUUCUUU